UACGGGGGGAGCAAGCGUUGUUCGGAAUCACUGGGCGUAAAGGGAGUCUAGGCGGUUUGGUAAGUGGGAUGUGAAAUCCCCGGGCUCACCCCGGGACCUGCAUCCCAAACUGCUGAGCUUGAGUACAGGAGAGGGUGGGGGAAUUCCAGGUGUAGCGGUGAAAUGCGUAGAUAUCUGGAGGAACACCAAUGGCGAAGGCAGCCUUCUGGGCCAACACUGACGCUCAUGCACGAAAGCGUGGGGAGCAAACAGG
rnacentral:rRNA from 1 species